UCACAAAUAACACAACAUAUUAAUUGUGUAUGACGACCGGACCACCGGGCCGAAUUCGGGUGACCCGAAAAUGGCCCGGACCCGACCCAAAAUAAUGACCGGGUCUAUUUUUGAGACCCUUAUCCGGUUCUAGACCCGAUGAAAUCACACUAAAUUAGCCCCUAAAGUAUUCGAGGUCGGACCGAAUUUUUGGGUCGGACCGGGCCAUGUACACCUAUACUACAUAGGAUAUAGAGUGAAGACAAAACAAAGGGAAAAAAAAAAAAAAAGAAAUUCACUAUAUGAUAUUUUACACAUUCUCCCUGUAUCUUUAUAUUUUUCGUAUAAACUUUGGAGAAUUUAUAACAAUAAAUAUUCAUAUAACUGAAAUAAGAUAAUAUAAAUUCAAAAAAGGAAAGGCUCUGAAGGUUCACAACAAUAUGUAUACUUAUUACCAUUAUCUGCAACCUUUCUUGCAUGAAUCCAACUUUUGUUUGUGAGCCUUAAAGAGCUUGUUGCAAUUAUCAACACACUGUUUUAGUACUAUGCAUUUGUCAAUGCAGUAUGUUUUCCUCACCUGAAAUUUCUGAUGGGUUUCGUUGCAUUUAUUGAUACACGCAUUCAAAUUAGACACAUCAUGAUAAGUUGGAGCCCAAGUUCGUCGCCGGCGAACAAGUGGUGGUUGUUGAUAAAUAAUAGCAUCAAAGAAAUCAGGAAUAAAAGAACAAAUAAUUACUCCAAUUAUCAAUAUCAUUAGUGUGUAAGGCACAACAUUUCUAGCCAU
rnacentral:lncRNA from 1 species